rnacentral:rRNA from 1 species
AUACGGAGGAUCCGAGCGUUAUCCGGAUUUAUUGGGUUUAAAGGGUGCGCAGGCGGGAGAUUAAGUCGGCGGUGAAAUUUUGCAGCUCAACUGUAAAAGUGCCUUCGAAACUGGUUUCCUUGAGUGUAGAUGAAGUAGGCGGAAUUUGUGGUGUAGCGGUGAAAUGCAUAGAUAUCACGAGGAAAUCCGACUGCGCAGGCAGCUUACUAAACUACUACUGACGCUCAGGCACGAAGGCGUGGGGAUCAAACAGGAUUAGAUACCCUGGUAGUCCACGCAGUAAACGAUGAUUACUAGCUGUUUGCGAUACAAUGUAAGCGGCUGAGCGAAAGCGUUAAGUAAUCCACCUGGGGAGUACGUUCGCAAGAAUGAAACUCAAAGGAAUUGGCGGGG